rnacentral:misc_RNA from 1 species
UGCCAGCGAGUGUCUCUUAAGCCGAACUUUCGCCUGAUAAACCAAAUAGGGGGGCCAGCGAGAUCAUCUCAAGCCAUGCCUACCCCGACUUAUCCAUAAAAAGAUUAGGUCCCAGCGAGUCAAGCUCAAGCUGCGUCUACCCGUCAGACGUAAACCAAAAUCACUGCAGCGGCUAGGCGGAGGAGGAAGGCUGUCCCGGCUUACCUGACAAUUUU